CGAUGGUCUGUCUUUCCCGCCAAAUCAGCCCGGAACCUGAGGUAGUUCCUUUCCGGUCCCGUCUACAAGACCACGUUUAAAAGACGGCGGCGCCACAACUGUUUGAGUACGGACCAAUACCAGCAUCAGCGUGUUACUUUAGACAGCUGAACCAAAGUUACAAUGGACCCCGCUCAUCUCUCGGAAAAAAACGUUUGCCCUGUACUAUGGCUGCACAGGGCCCACUGCUGCCAGCAUGACCGCAAUGAUGGUGGAUCUUGGCCUGCGUGCGCCAUUGUUUUUGUGGAGGACCUACUCGGGUAGGACCCACUAAGAGAAGCACCAUGGAUGAUUAUGAAAGGCAGCGGACAGAAUCGCUCUCCCUUGCAGGGUUGCAGUGACAAAAAACAGGACCGAAGCGAACACUGAUCCCAGCAGCUUAUAGAAUUUGGUGAUGCUGGGACUGAAGUCUUAAUCCUUCUGAUAGAAGGUGCUGCGACCCCUUGGAUCAGCCCCUCCAUGAUCUGUUACCUAAAUCACCACAACUAGGGGACUUUGUUAUGCUCUUGUAGGGAAGUGCAAACUUAACAGAAAAGGCCAACUUUAAGACUGGGGUGAAUCUGGUGGUGCUGCUGGGGCUGAAGGUGCAAUUAUUCCGAAAGGAGUUGCUGUGCCCCCUUGGACCUGCCAUGAUCUGUUGCCUAAAUAAUCUGCGGGACUGACAAGCUCUUCUGGGAACCAGCCAAGCUAAAGGCCGGCGUAUGCAACGAGAUGGCUCUGGUGGUGAGUGACGGGAGCCCAUCUUGUGAAAGACUAGGACAAGUUACCCCCUGCUCCGCUGCCCCUAUAGGACACUUCUGGCAGUGCAAUGGAGCCGACCCAUUGACCUGCAUGAUCACAUUGCUUGUAUUACUCUACUUCACAUGAAUACCUUUUGUAAAUCCUGUUCAGCAACGUGGUACAUUUCUGUUUGAGAGAUAAAAAUGGAAACCGUUUCCCAUGCAUUCAGCUUCACAUCAGUUAUUUCAAUGUCCAGUUUUUCCCCUUUUCUUUUUCAAAAAUUCUGUUGUCUCCAUAUUCAGUGCUGUGGUGCCAUGGUAUAACUUGCUUAUUAUGCCUUUUGGAACUCCUGAAAUUUAGGCAUUAAUAAAUGUAUUAAUAAUAA